GAAGAAUUGACUUUGGUGGUCAAAUUUGACUUUGGGUGGUGGGCACACAGUGCAUUAUACAGAUCUUUCAACAUAGAAACCCACAGCUGAAAACUGUACGUAUAUAUUGACCAGUAUCACCCCAAUCAAUUCAGUAAAUAAGUA